UACGGAGGAUCCGAGCGUUAUCCGGAUUUAUUGGGUUUAAAGGGUGCGUAGGUGGUUUUAUAAGUCAGCGGUGAAAGUUUGCAGCUUAACUGUAAAAAUGCCGUUGAAACUGUCGGACUUGAGUGUAAAUGAGGUAGGCGGAAUGCGUGGUGUAGCGGUGAAAUGCAUAGAUAUCACGCAGAACUCCGAUUGCGAAGGCAGCUUACUAAGCUACAACUGACACUGAAGCACGAAAGCGUGGGGAUCAAACAGGAUUAGAUACCCGCGUAGU
rnacentral:rRNA from 1 species